GCCCGGGGGGCAGGUGUUCCCGGUCCGCUUGCCUUCCGGCUGCCGGCGGCGCGUCUCUGCCGCCGCGUUUCCCGCCCUUCCGAGGGCUCGCCCCGUGCUCCAGGGCCUGAGGGACCCCCGCGGAGCUCCCGGCUCCGCGAAGGACGGAGAGGCGCGGGGCUAGACGAGGACCCUAACGGCCUUCAGCUCGGGGCGCCCGGCUUGCGCAGCGGGUACGUCGAGGACAGCCUGCCCGCUGAGGUGUUUACUGAAGUGAGCAAGGAUUUGCUGCUAUUUGGAGCCCGAGUGGCAGAUGAGACCAACUUCUUGGGGCACAGUGUGAAUUAAACCCUGAAGGCUGCUGCAGCAGGAUGCCCAGACCACACGUAGACCACCUCCACACCUGCAGAGUUGAGGGGAGCUCAGUUUGGCAGGUACAGGAAAGAGAAGUGCCGUUGCCUUGGAGCAGGGCAGGCUGCAGGGAAAACAAGCAGGAUUCCUGCCUCCUUCACCUUCAGGCUACCCUGGAAGGCAAGUAAGGUGUGAGAACUCAGAUUCCAAGCAGACAAAGUGCGAGCUUUGGCAGGAUCCCACCCCCGUGAUGCAAACAUGCCCUAUGUCCUCAUGGAUAUUCAACAGCCUCUUGGGUUGAUUGGACAAACAUCCCCACAAAUGAGAAAUUGAAGCCGAGUAGGGUGGUCAAGGCCACACUCUAAAUAAGAGAACUGGAACACAGGUCCCAGAGACCCAGGGUCAGGGCAGCCCAGAGCUGCGCACACAUAGGCACGUGCCAAGGUAGACACUGAGUUCUCGCUUCAGGACAAAGGUUGUCUUGACCCCUGAUGGAGUCGGUGUCUGCUGCCAGUUGAUCUCAAAUACAGAUUGGUCCCUGUGCUAGACAUGGAAACGUUAUAGUUGAGUGAGGGAGUUCCAUCUAGGAAACUUGGUAAAUUUUGGUGAGUAGCUAAUUCCUUCUUGCAACAUUCGUACAUCAUUUAAUACACUUAUGGAUUUUGGAAAUAAAUAGUCCUAUGCAAACCCAAUGUAAUAGCAGUACUACUUUAAAAUUAAGGGUUCCCUUGGAAUUGCUCCUGAACCCUCCUCUACCCUGGUGUGGGCCUUCCUUUUAUCCUCCACGUGGCCUCUUACUGUCCCUCCCAUUUCAUCUUCCCUUGCUUUCCAGCACCGACUCCCAGCUGGCCCUGACUCAGGAGAGACUGGGUAUGUACCAGCAGUGGCUGGGAGUGUGGCCUCUGGAGGCAAAGGACCUGGACUCAAACCAUGGCUCUGCUGCAUAGUUGCUGUGUCACCUUAGGCAAGGGGAUUAAGAGAGAUGUUGUCUCAGUCACCUUAUUUUCAAAUCAGGAUAUAAUAGUACUGACCUCACCAGGCUGAUAGAAUUAAAUGUUAAUUCAUGGCAAGUACUAUUUAAAUAGUACCUGGGCCAUAAUAAAUCUUAACUGUUAUCAUCUUGUACAGAAACCUCAAAUAGCUAUAGAACUGAGACCAGUGUUUGUCCUGAAAGAGACUUUCGGACCUUUUAACAAAUAUUUCCUGCCUUCCCUUAUUCACUAAGCAGAGCACUCCGGCUCAGUUCCCCAAACCGGCCCUCCUGCCUUGGCUCAUGCUGACCCAAUACCACCAUCAGUCGCUGUCCCUCAAGGGCAGGCUCUCUCUGGUCAGAUGAGUCCAUGGACUGUCUUCUUCCUUUGAGCCACAUCUAACUAGUUAGCGUUCAAGUUGCUGUAGCCACUAGGUUGUGGAGGCAAGCUGAAGUCAUCAGACAUGAAAAGUAUCCUCCAAGUGACCACUUAUAAAAUUACAGCCAUCACAGCUCAUCUCUCCUGUCUCUGCAUCUAAGAUUGUGAGUUGUUCUAAACUUCUGACAUUGAAAAUACAACAAAAAUAGGUACCAAAGUACAAUUAAAGUUUUGCAAAACAUGUAGAAUUUCAUAGUCCUUAAAGUAUUGUUGGUAAACUGCUCAAAUGAGAGCAGUCAUUGCAAAUGAGGAUCUGAGAGUCAGACCCAUUAACAAAUGAAGAGAAUAGCUGCAUAUAACCAAUUAGAUGCUUCCUGGGGGAUGAUCUGAAUAUCAAAGGUCUAAAGGAUUGAGAGGCCCUCAGGAAAACAGAGGCAGCCCUUGACUAACUUUUGCAAAAAUGACCCUGACUGAUUGCACUGUGGGAAUCAAACAUGAAAUGAUGUCCUAUUGUGCAAUCAUGUAAUUUUAGGAGGGAAAUAUACAUAAAAUAUUUUUUGGUCUAAGAAUUAGCCUAUAGUUGCAGUAACAUUUUGUUAACAGAUACUUAUUUUAGUAGUUUCAUUUUGCAAGAUAACUUCCAGUCGAGCCUUUUUCACUAUUUACCAUAAGAAACUCUGGUCUCCAUUUUAAGUGGGUUGACUCUAAGAGGCUUUUUCAGGUCCCAGUUCUUUUUGGAUAAUGAGAGCCUUUUAAUUUAUCUGCCCAAUCUUCCCUAACAGACGGCACACUCUUGAGGGCAAAUGCCAGAGACAGAAAUGCCAUGUCACCUCAUGAGGCAGUGAGGGCGGGGAUGCAUCUAAGUCACCAGUGAAGCCUGUGCAGACCAACAGCCCUCAAUUACUUGUUAAAUGAACGAGUCACCCAGUGUAUCCAGAGCUGUUAGAGGCAGAGACCCAUGGCUGAACCUCAGUUAGGGUCCCCAGCAAUGAGGGGUGAUUGUGUGACCUCAGACACUGUCUCUUGUCCUCAGCCCAGUCUGGGCUUUUCAGGCAUUGGCAGUGACCUCUAAAAACCUGGAGUGCUUUGAAGGGCAGGGCUAUGUGGAGGAUACGAGAGUGGCCAGGGUGAUCUCCUGCUGCCACCCCGCUGCCCUCCCCAUCAGGCAGCACACAGGAGCCGUAUGCAGUGGCUACAGGUGCCCUGGUUCAUUCCUGCCUGAUGUGGUUCAGAACUUCCUAUGACUGUUACUGAAACCAAAGUGGGUUAGGCUCCUGGCAAGUUAAAUCAGACUCUCCACCAGAAGGAGCUGUCACACAAAGUAAAGUAUAUUAGCAGCAGCAAAUAGGAGGCCAUGUGGAAUCAUUUCCAAAGUUGUGGCGUCCCUCAACAAAGCAGGGGCUUUUUAUUUUGGAUGGGGAAUGAAUAUUCAAAAGGGGAAAGGUGGGUAUUCGCUUGGGCAGGCUCAGUUGGAAAACAUGCUUCCGCGUACACUGCAGGUUAUGGUAAUAAGGCCUAAGCUCAUUCCGAGGGGAGAUCCUAGCAUUAAAAAUAAGGCUUAGUCUUGUGAUUGGUGGUUGGUGAGCGCAUCUCUUAAAUGCUUUCAAACCCACCCUUGAGUUCCUUGGGGAAAUUAGUGACACCUUGAGCUUCAUAAACAGACUGAAUGAUGGUACUUUUCCCAGUCCUAGGGAAGGUGGGUGGGGAUUUGGGGAGGAAUUCAACUGCAAUCUGGAAAGAGGAGGUUAACUUCCUACUUGGGGGUGGGGGAAAGGAGAAAAUUGGCACCAAUGUUCACCCCUGCCCCGGGGUGCCAGCUGCUUGGGAAGGAACUGCUGAUAUUUUGGCGCUUUAAUAGCCUCCACGCACAGGACAAAAAGCAAGGCCAGCAUACAACCCGGGCCCAAGCCUCUGCCUCCAUCUGUGCUGCACUGAGGUAAGGCCCACCUGGCUCUGCCGCCCCUGCCCCUCAGCCUGGAGAGCUAGCCCACGUUAUGGCUCGGUCUUUAGUAGAGAA